ACAAAAUCACCGAUGAGUCAUAUUCAUAUAAACGAUGAAUUCGAACAUAUUCAUCUAACCGAUAUUAAAAAUAAUUUGUUGUGUUCGGUUCUUUGGUUUUAGAAGUUUAGGAUCUGCUCAGGUAUUUAAAAAAUUUGAUUCAGUUUCGUUUUUCUGGUUCUCGGUUCGGUUCGGCUAACAAAAUUACAAACCCACUAAUAUCUGAGAUAAUUUCAAAUCUCAAAUGGUUCUGGUUCAUUCAUGUUUUCAGUUAGUUAAAAGUUAAAAAGUCAGAAAAUUUUGGGUUUUGAAUUAAAUAUCAGUUUUUUUUUGGGUUUUCCGAUGAAAAAAUACGUUUAUUUAGCCUCAAAUCGAAAACGACGAACCAUAAUCUCACCUUUACUCAUUGGCUCUCGAUAGCAAAUCAGAGACGCCUCACCGGCGAUUAGUCUCAUCGCUGCUUCACUUCACCAUCCCCAGUGUUCCUUCUUCCAUCUAGGACUCCACCGGCCUUUCUCUUCUUUAUCGAAGUCGCCUACACCUUAUGCUCACUUCACACUCUCGUUCUCAAGUAACUCGCCGAAAAAUCUUAAGAUCGUGUCUCGCUGACUCUAAAAUAUACACUCGCAGAUCUUAUUUCAAGCCCCACAAAUCAAGAUUUUCAGGUAUGGCGAUGGAUCCAUUGCCUAAACCCAUAGUUGAAGAGGGAACUAAGCUCAACAACACUUGCUGAAUAAUCAUCCUUCAGAGCUUGAAGAAUUUCAUUCGAGUAGAGUACAUAGAAGUCUUUAGCAAUCUUCGCUAUUCGGAAAGAGUGAUCCACAGCUUUGUUUGUAAGCAGCUGCUGACCACAAAGUUUCAUGAGUUGUCGUUCGUGUUUGCUAGGAGGCCUAUGAGAUUUUCAGUGCAAUAAUUUUUUCGCAGUCAUCUGGAAACUUGUAAUAUGUGGUCUCAUGUUGAUAGACUGAAGUUGGUGUAUUUGUGUGUGAUUGCUGGUAUAAUUAUGGCGAAUGAAGAAAGGUGUAAUUCCAACACAACUACAUCAAGAUUGUGAUAUACUUUGAUAAGAUGAGAAAAUAUUUAUUGGGUCUUCACGCAUUUGAUGAGCUGGUGAGUUCCAUUAUCAAAGCUAUUGAAAAACUGUUCAUAACAGCUAUGUUACAAAUGGACGCUCGUACGCACUUCAGAUUUGGUUGAUGGAGGCUAUCCCAGACAUUAGGACUCUGUUGGGUUGAAAACUCAAAAAUGGUAUCACAAGCAUGGGAUGCAGUAACUGGAAAGGAUCUUCUAAGGUUUCUUUUGAGGAUAUUAAUAGUCUAAUUUUGGAUCCAAAGUAAUUUCUGAUUCCUUAUUAAUGUAACUGAUUUUCAUUGUAUUUUCAUACAUCUCUUUCAUUGGGAAUUGCAAUGUUAUUGUUCAUGCUGA